rnacentral:rRNA from 1 species
UACGUAGGGGGCAAGCGUUAUCCGGAAUUAUUGGGUGUAAAGGGUGCGUAGACGGAGAAACAAGUUGGUUGUGAAAUCCCUCGGCUCAACCGAGGAACUGCAACCAAAACUAUUUCCCUUGAGUGUCGGAGAGGAAAGUGGAAUUCCUAGUGUAGCGGUGAAAUGCGUAGAUAUUAGGAGGAACACCAGUGGCGAAGGCGACUUUCUGGACGAUAACUGACGUUGAGGCACGAAAGCGUGGGGAGCAAACAGG